rfam:Lasallia pustulata genome assembly, contig: scaffold1861_size9315
AUUAAGUAUAAAAAGGGAUUAUUAUUGGGUUAUAUAAUCUGUAAACCACAGUUAGGUCCCCUCCCAGGGGGGUAACUGAGAGAAAUCAAAAAAAAAACAAAAUGAACUGAAAAAUCAAAGUAAUUUUAGGAAAAGAAAUCAAACGAGAGUUCUAUAAGUAUUGAGAAAGAAAAUAGAGCAUACAGUAUAUUUAGAACUGUAAGAAAAUAGCCAUUUCACGGUUACUUAAAACUAGAUAUAUUGUAAAGUUAAAUAAAGUAGAAUGGUUAAUCUGUUUGAAUAAAGGGGAACCUUCCUCUAAAACUAAAUAUGGUUUAAUAAGUAUUAGUGUAAAGUUCCGUGAGGGAAUUAUAAUUAGUAGUAGUCUUAAAAGCAGCUUUAGUUAAAUUUAAAUAAACAACAAAAGCAUACCUUUUGCAUAAUGGGUCAGCAAGUUAAUAUUAGAUGCAAGUAUUUUAUUUAAAAUAAUAAAAUACCUAGAGAAAUCGAUUAUGCAAUAAUAAGUUAGUAUCUAAGAUUAGACCCGAAGACUAGUGAUCUUACUUUUAUCAGGAUUAUAAAAGUCCGAACGGGUUAUCGUUGUAAAGAUAUCCGAAGAAUAAAGGUAAGUUAGUGAAAGACAAAACUGACUAGUUAAGCUGGUUUUCCGCGAAACCUAUAUAAGUAGGUCAUUUAAAUAACAUUUUAGCAGGUACAGAACUGUGAUCUCGAUCAAAUUUAAAUAAUUUGUAUACAUCGGGGGAUCGUAAAGAUUUUAUCGGAGAGUAUUUGCACUCGAAAGGGUUAAAAUGAAUUUUGAGUAAUCGGACAUAGAGCGAUAAGGUUGUAUGUCAAAAGGGAAACAGCCCAGAACAAGAGUUAAUAAGGUUCCAAAAUUAUUAUUAAGUGAAAUAAAGGAUGUGCCUUUGGAUACAAUAAGGAAAUAGGCUUAGAAGCGGCCAUUUUUUAAAGAUCUCGUAACAGAGCACUUGUUUAAAAAAAGGAUUGCACCGAAAAUAUAACGGAUCUAAAUAAUAUACCGAAACCUUGUCCAUAUACUAUAUAUUAUAGUUUUGGGAUAGCGGAACGUUGGAUAUUUUUACUUUUAAUUUUUUAAUUUAAAAGUGCCGAUUAAUCCAAGUGAGAAUGCUGUCAUGAGUAACGAAAAAGAAGAAAAAAGCUCGCCUAAAGCUUAUGGUAUUAUCACAGUUAACUAACGGCCUCUAAAUAAUAUUAAGUUUGAUGAGUAUAAAACUAGGAAAAACUAAUAUAAUGAAAUUAGUUCAGGAAAAUCUAGUUUACUUUUGUUAUUAAUGGAAUAAGGAGGCGGCGAAAUCCCGGACCUAUUAUUAUAACGCAAAAGCAUUAAACCGUACCUAAAUACUACCACAAGUAAGCUAGUAGAGAAUACGAAGGCGUUUGAGUAAUCAAUCAUUAAGGAACUCGGCAAAUUGACUCACGUAACUUCGGGAUAAGGUGGGCCAUUUUCAUUUUUUUUUUUGAACAUAACUGGCACAAGGAGGCGGCGAAAUCCCGGACCUAUUGUGCCAGUUAAGGGAGAUAAUUUAAUGAAAAGAGGAAGCAUGGAAUAGUGUUGUACGACUGUUUAAUUAAAACAAAGCACUCUGCUAAGAUAUAGAUCGAAAUAUUGAGUGUGAUGUCUGCCCUGUGUCGGCUGGGUAACGAAUUUACUUGGAAUUAAAAGGCCAGGUUUUGAAGGAAACCCCGAUAAACGGCGGCCUUACCGAUGAGGGUCCUAAGGUAGCGGAAUACCCUGGCCGUUAAAUGCGGUCUUGCAUGAAUGAUGUAACGAUACAACAGCUGUCUUGAUGAUUGGCUCAGUGAAAUUGGAAUAGCUGUGCAGAUACAGUUUACCUCUAGAUAGACGAGAAGACCCUAUGCAGCUUUACUGUUACUAAUCUAGGCUAUAAUAUAAGAAUUACAAGUGUAUAAGGUAGUAUAACUUACUCUAUUUCAACCUGGUCCCCCCAGAAGUAGAAAUACUUACUCUAUUUAAACCUGGUCCCCCCCAGGGGUAGAAAUACCUUAUAGAGAAGAGGAGAUUAUAAAGAACGACAAUGAGACACCUUUAUUUACUUUAUUAUAGUCAAUUGAUUGAGAGACAGUUUAUGCGGGGCACAGAUCCCAUAAAAAGUACCUGGGUAUAUCCAAAAUUCUAUAGUAAAGUCGUAUGAUUUAUCAUGUGAAAAAUAUAUGUGAUACGUUAUAUAUAUUUUUUUAUUUUAGUUUGUUAUUAAUUAAGCAUUUAAUUAUCCAGUUACAAAGGUUUUAAAGACAAUAAUUUAAUUUAUUUAAGUAAGAUUUUAACUAUAUGGUAAAUAGUUGUAAAAAAACAUUAAAUAUAUAUUUAAUGGUUUAACUCGUAGUGAUAAUACAAUAAAUUGUACUACGAUAUUUAAUAUUACUUUUAAGGUUUAAUGGCUAAAUCUUGCUUUACUGUUAGACCUACAAGUCCAUCAGUCGCGUAAGCGGGGCAUAUGAUCGCAAGAUACAGAAAGGAAAGGUCUUGGAUUUUUGAAAAAGUUACGCUAGGGAUUAGGCUUUAGUCCCCCACAUAUUAUUAAAUAU